GAUGAACGCUGGCGGCGUGCCUAAUACAUGCCAGUCGAGCGAACAGAUGAGGAGCGUGCUCCUCUGACGGUAGCGGCGGACGGGUGAGUAAGGAGUGGAUAGCAAUCUACUAAGUCGGGGAUAACUACGGAAAGCAGGAUAAGAUAAUAGCGAAUAUAUGAAACGGGUGGGUGCAGGGGAUAAAGGGGGUUUGCGUGAAUGUAUGAGCCGACGCCGGAUUAGCUAGUUGGCGGGGUAACGGACCACCAAGGCAACGAACCGUAGCCGGCCUGAGAGGGUGAUCGGCCACACUGGAACUGAGACACGGUCCAGACUCCUACGGGAGGCAGCAGUAGGGAAUCUUCCGCAAUGGGCGCAAGCCUGACCCAGCCACGCCGCGUGAGUGAUGAAGGUCUUCGGGUCGUAAAACUCUGUUAUUAGGGAAGAACAAAUGUGUAAUUAACCAUGCCCGUCUUGACGGUACCUAAUCAGAAAGCAACGGCUAACUUCGUG
rnacentral:rRNA from 1 species